GCAUGUGGGGGAAAAUAUUUGAGCAGGACUUUGCACCUUGUGGUUCCUGUUAAUGGAUCUCCUUUAUACCAGGGACUGUCCCUGGCCAACAACAGAUACACAGAGAAUACUUCCAGGGAGCGGAGAUCUUGGUUGUGGAACUAAAGCCCCCUUCGUAUGAAGCACUCUUGUGUUGAUUAACAACAGGUUGAGUAGAAGACGCUUUAGAGCAUCUUCUAAAGCAGUGUUUCCCAACCUCAAUGAUUUUAAGAAAGAGUGGAUUUCAAUUCCCAGAAUUCUCCAGCCAUUAUUCUGAAAGUUGAAGUCCAUUCACUUUGUUGAAAAGGACAUCAUACAAGUCCAGUUUAAGAAUGAAGUAAGAAGAGUUGCCAGGAGCUGAUCUUAUUCUCUGAAAAGAAGAAAAGAAAUGGCUUUUCAUCAGUUAUGGAUGGCUGAGUGUAGCUUUGGAGUAACUAGAGCACAGGGGCCUGCAGGCCAAAAGAAGUGCUUAUUAACAGUGGGCAAAUACUUAUAGCUGGUCAUUGCUUUUCUGCAGCAGGCAUCCUUGAUGGGUUUAUGCAUGCUGAGGACUCUUCUGCUUAGAAACACACAAUGGAAUGCCUGCUAUUUAUAAUCCUAAAAUAAAACAAGGAAGUUAAGGCAGGGGGAGGUAACAGAAUGCUGGCAUCCACUUUGGAAUGUGGAAGUUUAGGUUUCAGCAAUAGCAGGAAGACAAGAAUAAUUGGGGUUUCCUGACAAAGUGCAACCUGGUCAUUUGGUAUGUUUUCAGGAACUCACAGGUUUCACUGUGAUGACCAUGGAAUUUCUUUAACAUUUCAGUUUGGAAACCCCCGGGAUCAUUUCAAUGUGGUACUUCUUCUACUCCCCAAUAAUAAAUAAAAUAAAUUGCUACUCCCCUCCAAUCUACAUUUUCAUGACCCUGUUUUGUGCAUUUGGUUGUUUGUAGAUAAUGCUGUGUGCUUCUAAGACCUGCCUGUCUGUAAAGUUGUCAUUUUUCUGUACUGAAGAUCCUGUUCAUCCUUCUUUUCCCAAGUCCAUCCAAGCAAAACAGUGGACAAGUGACUGUGAGGAGGAGAGAGAAAACUCUGAACACCUAAAAUAUCCCCACCGUUCACUUCACACAUAAGGAAGAGAAAGGAAAUGGGUCGUAAGGCAAUGAAGAAAGCCCAAAGAGCAUGUUUUUCUUUAAUGGAGACUAGUUCUGUGCAAAACACACAGAGAUGAAUGGCUGCUGCGGAAGAGGCUCUGACAAGUCAUGAAGUCAUCCUUCCUCUAUCAGGGAACAGAGUACAAGGGCAACUGAAGCCUGGAAAUGGAGCCAGAGUUCCCAGCAAUGGGGAACAGAGCAUCCAGAACCUGCAGUGCUUCAGCUUUGCAGAGAUUCCUUUUUUCCUGGUUUGGGUUCUACUAUAGACGGACCAGAAAUAAAGUAUACGAUGAAUGAACAUAAAAACAUGUGACAGGAGAGAAUUGCAAAGGUGAUCGUGGAACAAAACAUAUAAACUGAAAGGGCCUUAUUUUGAAGAGCUCUGAAAUCUAGAAAGUGUGUCGUUGAAAACACAAUGUGAAAAUGUAACUCGAGUUAAUUUCCCAGACUUCUCAUAACUCAGUUUUUUAUAUUAAUUGAAAAUAUUAGAAUUACAUUCAUUUGAAGAUCUCUAUUAUAAUUCUAUUAUUUACUGAUGAACAUAACCUGUUUCUAUCUGAGUAACUCUUCUGGGGUUAGAUUGGCUUGAAACCAUAUAUCUUGCAGACAUGGCUUAAAACCAUAUAUCUUGCAGAGACACAAUGAUGGAGAGUCCUCUUCAGAGUGGAUAAUUGGAUACAUAGGGGAACAUGGGUCUCCAGGAGAGGUUAAAGGCAAGGCUAUAUCAAUGACUCAAAUCACUUUACAACCUGUACUUUGUUUAGCAGAGAUCUCUAGUAGAUUUCCAUGUUGGUUCUCCAUGCUGCUUUCUUGAGUCCAUUAUUUCCUCAUCUCACAAAGCAAGACAAAAUGUGUUGUGCAGGUCUGAGACCAUUUGUAGCAUUUGUCACAUUACUGGAGUCACUACCUGGUUUCUAGAAAUGGCUAAAGGCACCCGCUUUAUGCUGUAUAUAAUAUAUCCUUCCAUAUUCACGUUUAUUACCGAGACCUUCUAGGAGCAAAAGGAAGGACCUAAUUAGGGUGGAUAUGAGGGCAUCUUGCAUGCCGAAAUAAUUUUGAACCAACACUUCCAAAGCCACAUGUACAGGCAAAAUGUUGAACUUAUAGAUCAUGUAGCAAAGAAAUUGGGGUCUGACAGUUAGGGACAUUGAAGGAGGCCAUUUUAACUAUGUCUUGUCCAUCAUACAUUAUUUUUCUUAAGAAACAGGCCUGCUGAGAAAUAAAA